GCGGCAGGCCUAACACAUGCAAGUCGAGGGGUAACAGGGAGCUUGCUCCGCUGACGACCGGCGCACGGGUGCGCACCGCGUAUGGAACCUACCUUGUACAGGGGAAUAGCCCAGGGAAACUUGGAUUAAUGCCCCGUGGUACCACGACCCGGCAUCGGGAUGUGGUUAAAGCCUUCGGGCGGUAUAAGAUGGCCAUGCGUCCCAUUAGCUUGUUGGUAAGGUAACGGCUUACCAAGGCUACGAUGGGUAGGGGCCCUGAGAGGGGGAUCCCCCACACUGGUACUGAGACACGGACCAGACUCCUACGGGAGGCAGCAGUGAGGAAUAUUGGACAAUGGAGGAGACUCUGAUCCAGCCAUGCCGCGUGCAGGAAGAAUGCCCUAUGGGUAGUAAACUGCUUUUAUACGGGAAGAAAAAGGGGCACGUGUGCCCUACUGACGGUACCGUAAGAAUAAGGACCGGCUAACUCCGUGCCAGCAGCCGCGG
rnacentral:rRNA from 1 species